UACGUAGGGUGCGAGCGUUAAUCGGAAUUACUGGGCGUAAAGCGUGCGCAGGCGGCGCCGCAAGUCAGGCGUGAAAUCCCCGAGCUUAACUUGGGAAUGGCGCUUGAAACUACGGUGCUGGAGUGUGGCAGAGGGAGGUGGAAUUCCACGUGUAGCGGUGAAAUGCGUAGAUAUCGGGAGGAACACCAGUCGGCGAAGGCGACUACCUGGCCUGUUCUU
rnacentral:rRNA from 1 species